rnacentral:misc_RNA from 1 species
AAGUCGUAACAAGGUUUCCGUAGGUGAACCUGCGGAAGGAUCAUUAACACAAUUUACUGUGAUAAAUCCGUUGAAUUCUCGAAUUCGAUGGGUAUCCACCCCAUUAUUGACGAACUUUUCUAGAGGUUUCAAAAACAUAGAGCUUAGUCUUUAAGUUUUUAAAACAUUCUAAAACCUUUUUCUUUACCAUAUAACAUUUUUAACCCCUUUUACAACAUGUCUUAGACUGAAAUAAUAAUUUUCUAUCAAAAAAUUGAUAAAAACAACUUUUAACAACGGAUAUCUUGGCUCUC